rnacentral:lncRNA from 1 species
UUUUUCAAAUAUCCUCUGAACGUUGACUUAGGUGCACACACCUGUGCUUCCAUUGGCAACAAAAGCUUUGAAUGCACAGGACUUCCACGGCAUGAAAUGCAUUUACAUACAUUACAUAAGAGAGAAGCAAUGAGCAAGUCUGUUGCUGGGAGAGGCUCACAUCCUUCUCACCAAAUCAAUCUGUAACUUUCAAAUAGCUCUGCUGUAUUUCCUAGCAACAGGAGUAAACACUGUACUACAUCCAGUGCCCAAGAUUUGUAACCACGUUAAUCUUCUCAAUACAAUUCUAGGUUAGAAGCCUAGAUGUGUGACUGGAGAUGCCUCCUGUCCAUUCAAUCUGACUCCAAUGUGGUUCUGCAGCACUGGACAAAGAUGGGAGAUUGAAACAGGAGCCCCUGCGAUGGGGGAACAGAGCCAGGGAGCAGGGGUUGGACAGAACCCAGGUUUGAGAAAACAACCUUGUGAACCUUCUAUUGGAGCAGCAAUAAAGAUCUGAGCUAAGUGUCGAGGGAGGCUGAGGAGGUGGUCACUAAGUCUGUCUUAGGCAUCCCAGGGUCUCCUCAGAGUCCAAGCCUGAAGUCCACUGCAGGGGUCACCAGCCACCUGUGGCCACAUUGGAAUGUGGCCAUUCUGAAUUGAGCUUUUAAAACAGAUUUUUUAACCUGGAGUCCAAGGAGUCCCAGGAAAUCCACAGACGAGAUUCAAUGGAUCCUUGAAAUCCCUAAAAUUAAAUACAAAGCGGGGAUUGAUGACCAAAGAAGGCAGCUAUAAUGUUUUAUUCUCAAGAUGAUGGUUACUCAUCUUAGAAUAAAAACAACAACAACAAAAAAUAACAGAUGAAUGGGAAGAGCCCAAUCAAAGCUUUAUUCUACUCCUCAACAACUCAGGAGUUAAGCCUAAAGCUGCAGAUGAAAAUUUUGCCACCAUGAAGAAAAGAAGAAAUCAGAAUUGGAUUCUUUCUGAACUUUUCCUUUACAGUAGCCAGUAUAUGCCCUUUCCUACUUGAGCAAGUAUAAACUGGGUUUCUGUGAUUUGCAACCAAGUGUCCUGACAAACACAAGGAUGAAAGACAACUGUGUCUCAAUAAAGGAAAAAUAGUUUAUUUUUAUGAGUGGUGGAUUUAAAAAACCUACAUUACUGUGACAAGAGUACCUUAAAACAUUUAAGUCUACAAAAGGCACUUAGGGACUUUAUAGCAAACUCUACACUUAUAAUGAAAAGCCAGACCAGAUCAUUUUAAAAAAACGUUACUGCACGAGAUAAUGGCACAUCCACUCGUUCAAUUAACAUUUAUUGAGUGUCUUCAGGGGUUUUAGACUUGUGCAAUAAAAAUGAUAAAAACGUAUUCUUUGGUUUGAGCUGGUCCAUCCAAGGUCGUUCCAUAAAGAGCAGCUGUGUAUGCUGUUCAGACUAAUUGUGUGAAGCUGGAGAGGCCAGGUGUUUCUGUCUGGCCCAGCAGCUGCACUUUGCGGUAAGGGCACCACCUGAAUUUCAGUCUGGCCAUAAAAUGAGGCUGAAGAAACAGCACCUUGCAUGAGCUUUUAGGUGAAAGGCAGAACAG